rnacentral:misc_RNA from 1 species
GAUGAAGAACGCAGUGAAAUGCGAUAAGUAAUGUGAAUUGCAGAAUUCAGUGAAUCAUCGAAUCUUUGAACGCACAUUGCGCCCGCCAGUAUUCUGGCGGGCAUGCCUGUUCGAGCGUCAUUUCAACCAUCAAGCCCCCGGCUUGUGUUGGGGACCUGCGGCUGCCGCAGGCCCUGAAAACCAGUGGCGGGCUCGCUGUCACACCGAGCGUAGUAGAUUUUCAUCUCGCUCAGGGCGUGCUGCGGGUUCCGGCCGUAAAAAGCCUUAUUUACCCAAGGUUGACCUAGGAUCAGGUAGGAAGACCCGCUGAACUUAAGCAUAUCAAUAAGCGGAGGA